UUGAAAGGGAAACGAUUGAAGUCAGUCGUACCUGCGGGUAAUCAGCCUUUUGGGCAUGAUUCUGUGGAGCGUGAGGAGUUAAACGCCUUCAUGCCUGCAUAUUCGUGUACUUUGGGUGUACUUGCCUGUGUGGUUAGUUAACAUCAAUUUUGGUUAUCAUAAAAUGACUGGAGGAGUGUAGCUUCGGUUUCGAUCGAAGUGUUAUAGACUUCGGCAGAUGUGAUGAUCGGGAUUGAGGAUUGCAACGGAUACCCUUCGGGGCUACCUGUCUGAUCUCUGAUCGUUGCUCUGGUGCCGAAAGCGUGCUUACGGUUAUCAAAGUCGAUGGUCAAUAGGUUAGAACGGGUUAAAUUCGUUAAGGAUGUUGACGUA
rnacentral:rRNA from 1 species